UCAUAGCCAUAUGACAUUCAUAUACCAGUUUUCGUACGAUAACCGAAGUUAAACAACGUCGGGCCUGGUCAGUAUCUAGUUGGGUGACUGGCUGGGAAUAUCAGGUGCAGUAAG